CACGUAGGAGGCAAGCGUUAUUCGGAUUUACUGGGCGUAAAGCGCACGCAGGCGGUUCGAUAAGUUGGAUGUGAAAGCUCCUGGCUUAACUGGGAGAGGUCGUUCAAUACUAUCGGACUUGAGGAUGAGAGAGGGAGGUGGAAUUCCGGGUGUAGUGGUGGAAUGCGUAGAUAUUCGGAGGAACACCAGUGGCGAAAGCGGCCUCCUGGCUCAUAACUGACGCUCAUGUGCGAAAGCUAGGGUAGCAAAC
rnacentral:rRNA from 1 species